rnacentral:rRNA from 1 species
UUAAAAAGCUCGUAGUUGAAUUUCGGGACCAAUACGUCGGUCGUGCUUAGGUACGUACUGGCGUAAUUGAUUUCUCCCUUCUGACGAACCAUGAUGUCAUUAACUUGGUGUCAUGGGAAAUCAGGACUGUUACUUUGAAAAAAUUAGAGUGUUUAAAGCAGGCUCACGCUUGAAUACAUUAGCAUGGAAUAAUGAAAUAGGACGUUCGAUCCUAUUUUGUUGGUUUUUAGGAUCAACGUAAUGAUUAAUAGGGAUAGUUGGGGG